rnacentral:rRNA from 1 species
AUCAGCAGCCAUAUCACCCUGCAGCCCAAGACUGGUUGCUCAUUGAAGCUAAGCAGGGUUGAGCUGUCAGUACCUGGAUGGGAGACCUCCUGGGAAAACUAGGUUGCUGCUGGAA